AGAGAGAGAGAGAGAGAGAACAAAUUAACUGAGUAGGGGAUUUACGGAGAUGGUGAAGGUGUUUGAGGUGAUUUGCACAUAAUAUAUUGGUUUCUCUAUAUUAUCUUUACUAGCAGAUUGAAUAAUCUGCUCGCAUUAUCUAAAAUUAAUCACGCAACAAAGCCAAAGCCAUAUAUCAGCUCAGUUGAAUAAUUUAAGAGAUGCACACUUGAUUACUAAAUUGUUUACACAAUAUCACAGAUGUUAUAUGGUUCUCGCCUAGGUCUAUGCUGCAACCCGUACGCAUGUAAUUUACCCCUUUGGCGCCCCGGUGCGAGACUGAGUCCUUGAUUGAGUGUACAGAGGGUGAUCUCAUCACAGAACCUAAAGAGGAUAAUUUGUUUUUAUUAGUAGAUUGGGUGACCUGCUUGCUUUCUAAUCUAAAGUUAAUCAUGCAUCAAAGACAUAUAUUAGUUCAGUUGACCAAAUUAAAAGAUGCUCACCUGAAUACUAAAUUGUUUACAAAGUAAUUUUGUAUCCGAAUCAGAGACUUUCUUUCUAAAAUUAAACACAAAACAAAGCCAUAUAUCAAUCCAGUUGAACAAUUUAAGAGAUGCCCAACUUAUUACUAAAUUGUUUAUAAAGUAAUUCUUUAUCCUAAUCACAGAACCUAAACAGGAAAUUUUAUCUUUGCUAUUAGAUUGAGCGAACUGCUUACUUUCUACAAUUAAUCAAGCAACGAAGCCAUUAAUCAUUCCAGUUGUUUCAUAAAACGAAGGAAAAUAACACACAAAUUAAAAACCAGCA
rnacentral:misc_RNA from 1 species